GACGAACGCUGGCGGCGUGCCUAAUACAUGCAAGUCGAACGCUUCUUUCCUCCCGAGUGCUUGCACUCAAUUGGAAAGAGGAGUGGCGGACGGGUGAGUAACACAUGGGUAACCUACCCCUCAGAGGGGGAUAACACUUGGAAACACGUGCUAAUACCGCAUAACAGUUUAUGCCGCAUGGCAUAAGAGUGAAAGGCGCUUUCGGGUGUCGCUGAUGGAUGGACCCGCGGUGCAUUAGCUCUUUGGUGAGGUAACGGCUCACCAAGGCCACGAUGCAUAGCCGACCUGAGAGGGUGAUCGGCCCCACUGGGACUGAGACACGGCCCACACUCCUACUGGAGGCGGCAGUAGGGAAUCUUCUGCGAUGGACGAAAGUUUGAGCGAGCAACGCCCUCGUGAGUGAAGAAAGUUUUCUGAUCAUAAAACUCUGUUGUUUUAGAAGAACAAGGAGGUUAGGAACUGAACGUCCCCUGACGGUGUCUAACCAGAAAGACACGGUUAACUACGUGUCACCAGCCGCGGUAAUACAUAGGUGGUGAGCGUUCUCCCGAUUUAUUGUGCGUAAAGCGAGCGCAGGCGGUUUCUUAAGUCUGAUGUGAAAGCCCCCGGCUCAACCUGGGAGGGUCAUUGGAAACUGGGAGACUUGAGUGCAGAAGAGGAGAGUGGAAUUCCAUGUGUAGCGGUGAAAUGCGUAGAUAUAUGGAGGAACACCAGUGGCGAAGGCGGCUCUCUGGUCUGUAACUGACGCUGAGGCUCGAAAGCGUGGGGAGCAAACAGGAUUAGAUACCCUGGUAGUCCACGCCGUAAACGAUGAGUGCUAAGUGUUGGAGGGUUUCCGCCCUUCAGUGCUGCAGCAAACGCAUUAAGCACUCCGCCUGGGGAGUACGACCGCAAGGUUGAAACUCAAAGGAAUUGACGGGGGCCCGCACAAGCGGUGGAGCAUGUGGUUUAAUUCGAAGCAACGCGAAGAACCUUACCAGGUCUUGACAUCCUUUGACCACUCUAGAGAUAGAGCUUUCCCUUCGGGGACAAAGUGACAGGUGGUGCAUGGUUGUCGUCAGCUCGUGUCGUGAGAUGUUGGGUUAAGUCCCGCAACGAGCGCAACCCUUAUUGUUAGUUGCCAUCAUUUAGUUGGGCACUCUAGCGAGACUGCCGGUGACAGACCGGAGGAAGGUGGGGAUGACGUCAAAUCAUCAUGCCCCUUAUGACCUGGGCUACACACGUGCUACAAUGGGAAGUACAACGAGUCGCUAGACCGCGAGGUCAUGCAAAUCUCUUAAAGCUUCUCUCAGUUCGGAUUGCAGGCUGCAACUCGCCUGCAUGAAGCCGGAAUCGCUAGUAAUCGCGGAUCAGCACGCCGCGGUGAAUACGUUCCCGGGCCU
rnacentral:rRNA from 1 species